rnacentral:rRNA from 1 species
CAGUCGCCGCGGUAAUACGAAGGUCCCGAGCGUUGUUCGGAAUCACUGGGCGUAAAGGGAGCGUAGGCGGCGUGGUAAGUCAGAUGUGAAAUCCCGGGGCUCAACCCCGGAACUGCAUCCGAUACUGCCAUGCUAGAGGAUUGGAGAGGUAGCUGGAAUUCUUGGUGUAGCAGUGAAAUGCGUGGAGAUCAAGAGGAACACUCGUGGCGAAAGCGAGCUACUGGACAAUAACUGACGCUGAGGCUCGAAGGCCAGGGUAGCGAAAGGGAUUAGAUACCCCUGUAGUCCCUGUCUCUUAUAC